rnacentral:tRNA from 2 species
GGAGAGGUGCCCGGAGUGGCUGAUCGGGGACCUUGAGCACGCCUCAGGUCGGGCCGGCGACGGCCUGCGCAGGUUCGAAUCCUGCCCUCUCCG